UAACCCGCUGUUUCUAGGCCGUCAUUGAAAAUAAGAAUUUGUUCUUAACUGACUUGCCUAGUUAAAUWAAGGAAAGAAUGUKCUGUAGGCCUAUGACAUGAUACAUGUUCUAUAGGCCUAAUACAGUUGGCUGUUGAUUAAAUAURGAUGUCAAUGCAUUCCAGCACRCUGAUAUCAUAGUUGAGGGUCUGUUGCUGUCCUCUCAAAAGCUGAAAAGAAAUACCUUUGCAGAGUGGAUGAGGCCAACACACAUACUGUGCCCUACAUUAUAUGAGCAUAACACUCUUGGGAAUUUCACUUACUCCAACAUGUUCUCAGAGCAGAACGGAUUAUGAUUGGUUGCAUCAGACAACCAAUGAAAAAGAAGGAGGAGGUGGGAGGAGAUGCAGCUUCAACCCAUCAUUCAGGUCAUGUGGGGCAGACCUGUUUUGUGACCCACGUGUUUUGCUUGCUAGUAAACCAUUUUGCUGCUCUAAGGGAAGUUUGAGUCAACUGGGUCUUCUGUUGCUCUAAGAGCAGAACUGUCAGUACUGACCAUCAACACGGUCAGUACUCCACAUUCCUCUUCCCCCAUUUUCCUACAUUAUUUAUUUCCCUAUUAAUGAUGUUGUGAACGUGUGACCCAUGUGAAAUGCACUUAAAAUAAAACUCUUAAAAUAAACGUGAGUACUAACAUGUAAUUAUUUCCUGACUAAAACAUUCAUUAUUGAGUUGGUGAUGAUCAGAUGAUGUACGUUGGGUCAUCUUUUUUCUCCUAGGCAUGUAACRAGCUGGGACAGAUCUGGAUGUAGUCAGCCAAAGUGUUCCUGACUGUGCCCCUCGAAAACCUAGCUGCCAUUCACACUUAGAGGAGGGAGUACGAGACUGCAGAGUACGAGAUAGCCCUGAACAUCAGGAUGAGAGCUUGGACCCAGCCCCCCUCCCUGGCCUACACCCUCAAACACCUGGGCCUGCUCUACAAACGCAGGAAGAAGCAGAGUGAGGCGCUGCCCCUGUAUAAACAGGCUAUGAGAGUGUAUGAGGACAGUCUGGGACGCUCACGGGUCGGAGAGAAUCUGAAGAACCUAGCUGUACUCUCUGUGCGGAGGGGGUCUUUGAGAAAGUAGCAGAGCUUUACAAGCGAUCCAUGGAGAUCAAAGAGUCGGAACAGUCUCUGGUUUGUGGAAGGCCCCGUGUCGAUACUAGUCCCGUGGGGACAUGUUUAGCCCGCGAGGGCCCACACCUCUCCCACAUGCCCCCAGAAAUGCAUUGGUGGAGAAGGUUAGAGGGAGGGACCUUGCAGAGACUGAAAAACAGCUUCUAUCUCAAGGCCAUCAGACUGUUAAACAGCCAUCACUAACA